rnacentral:misc_RNA from 1 species
UUGAUUUAUUUAAUCGUGUUACUCAGAAGAUACUGUAUAAAACAAGAGUUUGGGUCCUCCGGCGGGCGCCUGGUUCCGGGACGCCGAGGCGCCGGGGCGGUCCCGCCGAAGCAACGUUGGGUAUGUUCACAGGGGUUUGGGAGUUGAUAACUCGGUAAUGAUCCCUCCGCUGGUUCACCAACGGAGA